rnacentral:tRNA from 1 species
CAGAGAAUAGUUUAAUAAGAAAAUUUUAAUUUUGGAGAUUAAAGAUAAAUAUGAAUAAUUUUUCUCUGA